rnacentral:lncRNA from 1 species
AAUAUGGGAGAUAAUCAUAAAAAUUGUAAAUGUAAACAAAUCGUGACCGGAAGAAUGCGAUUUCAACACAAACAAGACGAUCAUAACCAAAAAUAAACAAAUAUUUUCAUAUAUACAGUAAACAAGUUAUUUAUCAUAAAUCGUCCGAAGUGAAACAAACACUUUUACAAUGACUGUUGGAUGGGAAACUUUAGAUGUUGGAGAGCAGGUAAGCUCGCAGUUUUAUUUAUCCACACCAAGGACGUAUAUUAGACGUAUGUUAGUUAUACGUCCUUGUCCACACAUAACAGUUCUUGAAAUUAUUUUUGGUAAACAAUAGUCGAGCCUAUUAUAUGUCAACAGCAGGUCAACAGGCACUCAAUGUCCCAGAUGUUGGUAAAAUUUUGCUUCCAACUUUGGCUCAUUAAACUCUGAGCUUCAAAUGGAUAAACAUUGCGUCUAUCUUUUUUUUUUUCGAAAUAUUUAAAAUAAUUCAAAUAAUUUUACUAUAGUUGAUACACAAUACAUUUUUUUUUUGGGGGGGGGGGGGGUGUCUGAACUCGGAUCCUGUAUUGUUAAUUUAGAAUCCUGUAUCAUCCUGAUUCUCGUUGCCAUAAUAGCACAUGUAAUUUCCAGUCCCGCAGAAAUUCGUUUCCUGUUUUCACGCUUUAAAAUUAUUAAACUCUCAUAAAAAAAACUGGCCAACCCCACAUUAAGUUUGAACCCCAAUGACGCCCACUUUGUAAAAUGUUUAGAAAGCACAUAAUCAUAAAAUGGGCUUCAAUUUACUAAAAAUCAUCAAAUCUCCAAGCUUUUACUAAGGUGUACAUUUGUUUAAAAAAUUGAUUUGUGAUAAAUAGAUUUCUGUUUUAAUUAGUACAAUAUUAUAACCAUAGUUAUACAAUACACAUCAUUCAAUCAUAGUGGUGUAUUAGGUGAAAAAUGCCAUAAAAGUAAAAAAAAAAAUAAUCAGAUUCACUGUCAUUUAGUACAUGUAGUAGUAAGCAAAUUCUGAUGCCACUGCUUCUAGGCAAAGAUGACAUUAAGUGUUACCAUUGACGGUCUCUGUCCAUCCUUCUGUCUAUCCUAUUUGGAUUCCACACUCUAUAUUAAACUUUUGAUUUGUCUCAUUUAAAGGGGCUCUAGAUGUUCACCGAUUUUAAUCACAAAUUCUAAUAUUUGUCAAAUUGAUUUAUAACAAUGUAAAACAUUUAUCCAAACUAUUAAAUGUUUAUCACCGUUUUAACCUUAUAAGAAUGAUUUUUUGUGGAUCAAAUCAGUCAAUCAAAUGAUUUACCUUUCUUUCACUUUCAAUGUUGACAUUCUUUUUCUUUAAAUAACUUUACACAUACAAUUCACGUGAUGUCCAUCUCAAGCUAAGGGGUUGAAUUGAAGUUCACAUGAAUACGGAUUCAAUGAGGUCGAAUUACUCACUUGCAAUAAUUCAUAAUCAAUGUUUUUUUAGCUUAUUUUGACAAAAUUGAACCAUACCGCGCUGGCUGCUAAAAGCGAAUCAUUAUUUCACUAUUUGCAUUUCAUUAAUGAUUGAGCAAAAAAAAAAAUAAUGGUAUUAAUUCUUUUAUAUAUCUCGUAGCUAGUGCCCCUUUAAAACAUAGAGUGAUAUAUGCUCUGAAAGAGUAUUUUCACAUAUAUGCAGGCUUGAGAGUGUUUACAAUGGAUUGAAUAUACAUUUACAAAGUACAUGUUACUCUUUGAAAAUUGAGCACUCAUACAAAAUACUAAGAACCCAAACUGUCUGACAGAGUUUGAAAUUAAUUAGUGAGUCAUCUACUGAUCUCUUACUUUGAAAAUUGCUAAUUUUUCCAUUUCUGCACCUGAAUUUAAUUUUGCCUCAUGAAUAUGUUAUGAAACUCAAAACACAAUGCUAGGAACAAUACUAGCAGACAGAGUUAGAAAUUGGGCAGUGUACUAGAGUUAAUUCCCUUUAUAAUUUGGAAACUUGGAAACAAAUUUAAAUUUGUUUCUACACUCUAUUCUAAAAAAAGAAGGGACGAAACAGUAUAGAAAGAUGUAAGAUAAAAUAUCUUUACAAUGAUUGUUUCAAGCAUAAUUAUUGUACAGUUUUCUUUUCUUUUUCAAGGCAUUAGUUUAUAACCAUGAAGGUGAAGCCAGGAUUGAAGAGGGACCUAAAAGGGUAAGCUGCUUUAAUAUUAAUUUGAUAUAUUUGGGGAUAUUUUAAAUCAUUUUGGUCUAAAACAUUAAGCAUGUUAAGUGGUUAACAUGGUUAAGUAUAUUAUAUUUUAAAGGAGAUUAAAACAGCAAUGAACAUGUGUCAUAGUUUUAAAGAGUUGUAGUGAACUGUUUGAAAAAAAUGGAUAAAAUGAAUUGUUUUAAGUAAGAAAUCUAAGUUAAUGUCAGAGUUUACCAAUAGACAGACAUUAAUUUACCAAAGUGUUUACUUUGACAAUAUGAAUGUAUAAAUAAGAAGAUGUGGUAUAAAGUAUGACAAAUAACACCACCUUAAGGAAACAUUACAACCAAGCCAUAGAAAAAAAAGUUGUUGUUGGCCAUGGUUAGCUCAUUAUUUGAUGCAUUCUACUGUUGUAGUGGCAGAUAAAAUUCUAUUUUAACAGGCAAAAAAAGAAUGAAUUAAAACAAAUGAGAAAGGGUUUUGAUUCCCCGUAAACUACAAAUAUGUACCUCUGUUAGUUAAUAUGUAUAUUUGAAGUACUUUUGAUAUCAAUUAUUGGUUGAUUCAACAAAAUUCCUUUUCAAUAUAUUUGAAUAGAUUAAAUUCACCUUGUUGUAAGGAGAAAAGAAAACUAAACUUGCAUCAAAAUAGCAACCUUCCAUAACUUGAUUAACAGUGAAAAGGAAUGAAAGUUUUGACAUUUGAUUUACUUAUUGGCCAAUAUCUAUUGCAGUUAUUUUUAUGGAGAGAAAAAUUUCAGAUACUAAAGAGGAAUGCAGUGAACCAGAAUUCCUAUGCAAUUGUAAGGUACAAUGAUGGUCAAGUGGAACAUUUGAAAGGGUAAGGAGUCAUGCAUGUAGUUCUUUUUGUUCUUGUUAUUUAGCUGAUAGUCAAACUGAUUGUACAAAGUAAUAAUUAUAUAUAUAUAUAUAUAACUGCCAUACAUGUUUUGUAAAAAUAAUCUCUACUGCUUAAUAAUAUUGGCACAGGUUGGUUGUCAGUUUCCCCCCAUAUAAUCCAUAGGCGGAUCCAGGGGGGCCCUGAGAGGCCCUGGCCCCCCUUUUCGUGGGAAAAAUUUGGUUGAUUAUAUAGGGAAUCAUUGAAGCAUGACUGGAGCGGCCCCCCCCUUAGGAAAAGUUCUGGAUCCGCCUAUGUAAUCUGUCUAAUUUUGUGAUCAGCACCCAUUUAUAUAUGUUUUAAAAUACCUCACAACGGAUGUGACUGGGACAUUUUCUUUUGAUUAGCCUUGGACUUUAUUACCAGGGUUGAACUUAUGACAAUUGGAAUGGUUAUCUUUUAUUAAUUACAAACUUAUAUAACACAUUCACAUACAGCGCAUGUAUAUGUAACAAUUUGGUCAAUAAGAACAAAAUCUUACAAAUUUUUCUACAAUGAUAAUCUAUAAUAAUAACUUUAUUCAAUGGACCCCUAUGUUUAUAUGGAUCAUAUAACCUUUUACUUGUUCUAUAAGAAAUAUCAAUGUAAAAAAAACUUUUUGUAAUAAGAUUUUAAUUUGUUUUAAUUUUUUUUUUAUGUUUUGACUGACAUAUAUUUACAGGCCAUGUGUUAUAUAUGAGAAUCCACUUCACCACAAGUUUGUGAAGGCCUAUCCAAUGGAAUCACUUGAUGCUAAUGAAGCUUUAGUUGUCUAUAAACAAGAUAAGGAGACCAACAAAGUCACUAGAUAUGUACAGUUUGGACCAACCUUAUUCAUGCCAAAAGCAGGCGAAUGGUAAAAACAUUUUUUAUGCCCCACCUACGAUAGUAGAGGGGCAUUAUGUUUUCUGGUCUGUGCAUCCAUUCAUCCGUCCGUUCGUCCGUCUGUCCCGCUUUAGGUUACAGUUUUUGGUCAAGGUUAUAGUUUUGACCCCAAUUUCACGGUUAAAUGAACACAGAAAAUGAUAGUGCAAGUUUCAGGUUCAAGUUUUUGGUUAAGGUUUUUGGUCAAGGUAGUUUUUGAUGAAGUUGAAGUCCAAUCAAAUUGAAACUUAGUAUACAUGUUCCCUAUAAUAUGAUCUUUCUAAUUUUAAUGCCAAAUUAGAUUUUUUACCCCAAUUUCAUGGUCCACUAAACAUAGAAAAUGAUAGUGUGAGUGGGGCAUCUGUGUACUAUGGACACAUUCUUGUUUUUUAUGUCCCUUCCUUGGGUAACAGGGACAUUUAGUGUUACUUUUCACCAUCCUUGUGUCUGUCCAUCGUUCAUCCUUCCGUAUGUCCCAUUUUUUUUUACCGCUCUCUAACUUAUGUGUGCAUCAUACAAAUUUUAUGACCAUCAUACACAAUGCUAAGAAACAAAACUAGUUGACAGAGCUUUUUUAUGAUAUUUUCAUAUGAAUCUAUUUUCACAUUUUAUGUGUUUUAAGGAAUUGUACAUGUUGAGUUCUAAAAAAUUCAUUUACAUGAAAUUAAUCCAUAGAAAACUUAUUUGAAGAUUAGGGUUAGAAAUUUUUUGUCAAGUUGGAAAAUCAGGAAUGAAUUUUUAUUUAUUACCGAUAUGCCAUUUGUUGAUUGUUGGUUGCUUUACGCCACAUUAGCACAAAACGGCUAUAUCGCGGCGAUAUAUAUGCCAUCUGUAAAUUUAAAAGUAAUAAUGAUAUUUAUAAUUAUAACAAAGCACAUUUUAGUGCUCUCACACCUACAUUUCAACUGCAGUUUAGUUUAGGUCAAAGCUAUCAUCAGCAGAAUUUAGGACAAGUACAAAAUUUAGAGUUGAUUGAUUAUUUUUGUGGGGAUAAGUACUUUGAAUUGUUUUAAAGUUAUAUUGAAAAUCAACUUUGUAAUCUAAUUUGCAAGUUCAUUCCUUAUUGGAGUUUGAGGAAAUUUAUGUCAGAUAUAAUAAAUUUGCAUUAGCUGUGACACAAAAAAGAGAACCGUAAAUUAGUGUGGACUGAUUAUUAGUCCCCUACCGAUGAAGUCAAAGGGGACUUAAGGUUUGUACGCCGUUCGUCUGUCUGUCUGUCAAUCUGUCCAUCUGUCAGUCCGGCAAAUCAGUUUUCCAUACUUUUUUCUUCAUGCUUAAAGAUAUUGAUUUGACGUUUAGUUAGUUUUUGCAUUUUGGUCUAUUUAUGAUAAUAAGUUUCUGCAUUUUUUUUCAUCAUGUUAGAAGAUAUUGAUUUGAUAAUUGGUAUAUAGUUUAACCAUAACAAGUUACAGAUCAAAAUCGACUUUUGUUUUGGUCUGAUGAUUUGUGCAGAGUUAUGGUCCUUGAACUUAAAAAUUCACGCAAAAAAUCAGUUUUCCGAAUCUAGAUUUUUUUUUGUCAGGCUUGAAGAUAUUGAUUUUGAAAAUUGGUAUAUAGUUUUAUUAUGAAAAGUUACAGAUCAUGAUUGCAUUUUGUUCCUGUAUGAUGAUUUUGUGCAGAGUUGUAGUCCUUGGACUUAGAAAAUUAACUUGAAUAAUCAGUUUUCAACACUGUUUUUGUCAUGCUUGAAGAUAUUGACUUGAUAUUUGUUACAUGUAUACAGUUUACACCAUAACAAGUUAUAGAUCAAGUUUGAAUUUUGUUCCAAUACAAUAAAUUUAUAACCGUUAGGAAACUAUAUAUUGCCAUGCAAUACUCACAGAAUGCUUUUUUUAUGGAAAUUACGCCCCUUUGAAAUAUAGGCAAUUAGAAAAGUUACAUUGUAAGGGAUAUGGGUAUUGGCUAUCCUGAAGCAAUCUUGAAAAUAUAAUUGACCUUUUAUUUUACAGGCUACAUGAAUUUUGCUGGCAUGGAAUAGAUCCAGACAACAAAACCAGUAUGAUACCAAACAGUAACAGAUUCUCAAGAUUGAAAAUUAUUCCAGAUCAGUUUUAUUAUAAUGUGAGUAACGACAAAAAAAUUCAGUUAAUUCUUUAUGUUUGUAUUCAAAAAUUCGAAAUAGUGAACUUUCAUGGCCCUUUAACAAAGUUGUCGGAACCAUAUAGUUUUACCCUUAUCUGUCAUUUCUUCACAAACAGUUAUACAACGUAAAUACCUUUUUCUAUGUCCCUUCACAUAUUGAGCUGAUUUUUAGGAUGAACUUUGAAAAAUUUAUUAAAAUAACAGUUAUACCGACUUUCAUUCUGAAUUUCUAUUCCCAAUAAUGGCUUUCAAGCUUUUAUUGCAAGCAUGGCCAUUCAUGUUGUUCCGGUACAUCUAGUUGUAAAUUAGAAUAUAAGGAUAAAAAACAGCAAAAAACAAGCAUAGCUUUAGAUUGUUAGUAACUGAUUUAAUUAACCUUUUCUGUAUUUAUUUUUGUUAAAAAAGAAAAUACUGCAUAUUGUCAAAAUUCCACUCUUUUCAGAACAGUGUUUGAUUAAAUAAUAUUGGUUUGUUGUUUUAAAGGUUGAUGAAGUGAGAACAGCCGAUGAUGCAGCUAUCAGGGUCAAGUUAAUGUUGUUUUAUGAACUAAAAGAUAUAGACACAAUGGUAAACAUAAUUAAAAACUUGGGAGAACAUUGUUAAAAUACAAAUUUUGUCUUAUUGCCAAUCAGUGCUUUUAUGAACAUAUGACCAUUUGGAAUAGUAAAUUUUAUGAUAAAUGCACUUACCUGUAAACAAAUUGUCUCUCCAUAAUACAUUGGGUUGAUAUUUUUAUGCCUAUUAUAAUGCCAGAGUAACAUUUUGAUUCUGCAUUUAAGUUUUGUAGAUCCUUUUGUACAGGAGUAUGGCAUUUGUAUGAAGAUUUUUUUACUCUUAACCCUAAGAUUCAUUGACUUUGGAUGUUUUACUUCAAUUACAUAUAAGUUUGUGAUUAGGUCAGGUUAAAGGUAACGUUUUUCUGAGAUUUUGGAUUGGCAUAUUGUUCGUGAAAGAACAUUCUAGAGUGACCAGUUUGUUAAAGAUGCGACAUAUAUAUGUAAAAAUAUUCUACAUUUAACUGAUCAUAUGUUAUUUUUCAGCUAAAUGCCACCAAAGAUCCAUUUUCAGAUUUUAUAAAGUAAGUAUUAAUCAUGAUCAUGAUAAACAGCUGUCUUUGAAAUUUUAUAAAAGUCUUAUUAAAAUAAAGAAUUGAUGAAAAAUUGUGUUUUCUUGUUUUGCCAAAGUCUGUAUACCAGUCUAUAGGUAAUUUGUACUUUGUUGAAUAAUUAAAUUCAUGGUUAACCUGUUCUCUUAAAAAUCACCAGUAAUUGAUAUCCCACUAAUAGUUAUGAAUGCUCAGUACUCAGGGAAAUUCCCUGCUGUGUUAUUCAGUUUCACUUGAAUGAGCACCUUCUAUUGUUGAUACAUUUUAAGGACUGUUUCCAGAAUAAUACAUGCUCCGUAUCAAGGAUCCGGAAAUUUUUUCACCUAAUUUCGGUCAUUUUGGGAUAACUUACAAGUUGGUGCCCUUUUUAAACAAAGAUUGUGUGUAUGCUCAUACAGUCAUACUCGUAGCAUCAACGAACUUGUUUAACUGUUGAAUCGCAUUUACUUCAGAAAUUUCCCUACCAUGUUCUAAAUCGAUCUGAGCAAUAAAAGGAAGGCACCAGUUUAAAAAUGAAAUGAUUUUAAUGACUCAAAACGAUAAAUUUCUCAAACUUCGCUUACGUCCUUCUUUCGAUUUUGAAGACAAAAUUAUAACCGGAUGUUUUACGACAAUAGUAAAACGACCAAUUCCGGACUCAUUUCCGGUUAGUUUUGUUUAUCAAUUCACAGGAGAAUCGUCGGCUUUUUAACUGUUUUACCUUUAAUAGUGUUUGAAUAUUAAUUAUAAUAUGGACUUGUUUAAUUUAGCAUGAAAUCAUUUUUAAUUUACGAUUUAGUGUCUAAUUUGCGGAGAGAAUUUCAAGCAUGCGUAUUAGUAAACAACACGUGUGUUUGUAGUGAAACAAUAUUUUGUUUACGUAAAUUAAUUAAUUUAAUUUAUUUUAAAUCAGGAUUGACAAUGUUCUACUGAGAAAAAGUAAUUAAUAAUGCAGACAGUUGUUAUGAACUUUUAAUUUCUUUAAAAUAUUAGUUCUUGAGCUCGUGAUCAAUAAAUUAAUUAAAACACAGUAAAGAGAUUAGCGAUCACAGCGAAUAUUUCCCGGAGGCAUUACUAUAGUUAUUAGGGGGCCCUCAGGAUUAUAACACUUUACUGGAGUGGCAGUUUUAUACAGGAAAGGAUAACAACAAAAAAUAAGUUCAACAUUGCGAUUUAGACAAUGUUAGAAACUCGAUCUCACGAAAUGACAUGAAUGACCGAAUUAUUUCUGUAAAAAAAUAAAAUUGUCCUAAAUCCCAAUUACUCAUUUAGGACAACUACUUUUCAGUUUAGGUCAAACUGCAUAUAUAUGACCGUUUCCGGACCCUUGCUCCGUAUUGUACAUUGUCAAGAACAUUUGAUUACUGUAUAUACAAUCAUCUUUGAAAUAUUGUUAAUUAACUCCUCUUUGUUAUGCAUUACUGGUAUGUUUUUGGAAAAUGACGCAGUCAUUGUCCAUUACUGGCGCUGAACUUCAUUACAUUCUCUGCCUACCGCGCUUGGUUUCGUAUUUACUAUUUUUCAUACAAACUGGAAUCUGCUUGUGUUAUCAUUAUGCAUGAUCAUUGUGUAGUAAUCAGCCAGGAACCAGUUUACAAACUAUGGUUUUGCUUGUAUUUCACUACACCCGAACAAAGUGUUGUAGUUUGACAGGAACCAGUUUAGAAUUGUAAACUACAAAAACGUAAUCGGUUAUUGACAUCCGUUUUGGUGUUUCAUACCGACUAUAUGUUUGAAUAAGCUUAAGCCCUUCACUUAAUGUGAUAGUAUAUAAAGCUGUUUACAAAAGGAUGGAAUGUUUUGCUUUUCAAGUCGUAUAUAGUGAUAUCUGUUUGUACGGAUUUCCACUCUCACCGGUUAUUUCUUCUUUUACACGUCUUUUGAAAUUCCUGUUAAACAUCGACAAGUUUUUAACUUGUUUUUUAGUGAAUUAAACUUAUUGAAACAAUCAUGACGCGUUCCAGACAUUUAAGCAGUUCUUUUCUCUUGAUGAUGGAAAAUAUGUUUUCCAGAAAAUACCGGCAAACGUCGCAAGGAUUGAAACGUACAAGUCAAGUGACACCUGAAUAAAUUGGCAUUAGUCAAAUCGGCACCUAUUUGACGUCAAUUCGGCAUCCAAUAAUAUUUGUUAUAAUAUUUUCUAUUCAAUUAAUUAAUAACAGGUACCAAGUACAUAGUGAAUUUCACUGUAAAAUCCACCGUCACUCACUGAAUAUGUUAUUGUGUAUUUUGGUAAACAACGAAACCAAAGUGAAUAUAAAAUUGAGAAUGGAAAUGGGGAAUGUGUCAAAGAGACAACAACCCGACCAAAUAAAAAACAACAGCAGAGGGUCAUGAAGCCUUUACCCAAGCUAUUGUUUUAACAAUUAGACAAUAAUUAAAAUAAAAUGGAAAACUAUGAGUCCCUUUCAAUAAAUCAAACUGUCAUGCCAAAUAAUUAGCAAAUUUUAGGUGGUUUUUUUUCAGUAAAGUUUAAACAGCAUUAAACAAACAAUCCUGUAAAAUGCUCAACUGGUUAAAAUAAUGCAUAAAAAUAUCCAAUAUCUCAUGUAUUAGUCCAAAAAAUAAUGACGUCUGGCAAGGCUAUUUUAUUUUUUUUUCUGGGACGCCUUCCUUAGACGUUCGUAGGAAGGCUUCGUAAGAAGGCGUCCCAGAAAAAAAUUAACAUAGCCUUGCAGUCAUAAGAAGGUGUCCCAGAAUAAAAUUUAAAAAGCCUUGCCAGACGUAAUAAUUAUUUGGACUACCGUAACGGUUACUCAUAUAUAUAUCAUUAAAAAUAAGCCAAAAAAGUCAUUUAGUUGAGAAAAAUAAAUAUAUCCGUUUGAAUGGUUUUACACUAGUAAUUUGGGCCCUUUAAGCUGUGUUCGGUGUGAGCCAAGGCUCCGUGUUGUAGCCGUACUUUAACCUAUAAUGGUUUACUUUUUAAAUUGUUAUUUGUAUGAGGUUGUCUCAUUGGCACUCACACCACAUCUCUAUAUCUAUACAAUGUACAUGAACACCCAAAAAUGUGAAAGUUAUUUUCUUUUUGCUUAAAUACUGAAAAAAAUUCUGGCAACCCCUUUCUUAUUUUUACUCUUUUUGCUUAAAAUACUGUUAAAAUAUAUAUUUAACAUGGGUGACGAAUUGACUAUAUCCAGUGUCGAUUUAACCAGGUGCUUAUUUGUCCAGGUGCCAAUUUAACCAGGUGCCGGUUGACUAGAAUUCUUUGACAAAUGUUUGAAAUUACCUGAGUUUUCAUUAGACCUUUGAUAACAGUAACACAAAGAUUAUUUACUUAAUAUUUUGUGGGAGAAGGGGGUUCAGACUAUGGUAUCAGGUCUGUUCGCGCCCAAUACAUUUUCACACCCUACACGUUCGCACCUUGCACGUUCACACCCAAGGUCCUUUCGCACUCUACUCAUUCGGCCCAAUUUUAAUUCAAAUUCAAGUUGAAUAAUUGGAAAAUCAUGAUUGUUGUUUUAAAUUGCAAUAACAAUACGCUAUCCAAAACAUGAUUAAGAUUUAUUCAACACAAACACUCCCAAGGGUGAUUGGGGAAAGAAUAUGUCACUUGGUCUUCUCCGACCGCAGUAAAACGCUUGUGAGUGGGGUGUCCGUUUGCGUGCGGAUGUAUCAAGUAGCAGUCCGUAAGUCAGAAGGGGGACGUUAAUCUGAUGCCUCGGUAAAGAGAGUCCACGCUCUUUGCACGUUAAGACCUGAACAAUUUUAAGGGUCCGUAGGUGGCCUGUUGCAAGGCCAAAUUUCUGUUCCUAUCCAAUAUACCCUCUUUUUCCGGUGGCAGUCCAAAUUUCUCCGACCAUCAUCCCAGAUGGCCUCUAUUGUAUCAACCUACCUAUUGUAUUUAUGUGAACUUGUUCUCGUCCUGAAUAUGCAUGAAAUAUUUGCCAACUGGACGUUAAGAACCACAAUAUCAAUCAAUCACACAAACAAAAAUGCUGUCUCACUUUAUUUUAAGACAAUGACAACAAUUAUACUUAUAAGAAAACACUUGCUUUAUAAUACAGAGUUACAAAACCAAUUAAGAUUGGGUGCGAAAACAUGUAGGGUGUGAAAGUGAAAGAGGGCGAACAUGAGUUGGGCGCAAAGGGACCUGGAUUCAGACUAUGUACCAUUGAGAAAUAUACAAGCCUUUCUACGGUAUUCAUUUGUCUUCAGUAAAAAAACAGCCAGUUGUCCACCUUCACUUCACACACACACAUAUUAUUUGCUUACGAGACAUGUUGCAUUGUUAAACUAAUUACGGUAUGUGAAAAUCAAGACUUGCAUAAAAACUAUCCCAAUAUUAGAGACAGUGGCGUCAUUUUUCUUCAGAGCUUUCAGCUCUUUGAUUCAGUUUAGGUGUCUGUAUGUUUGUUCAUAGGUCCAUCUGUCUGUAUUGCUGCAAGUUACAGUUUGUGCCACAUUAGAGUUUUGACCCCAAUUUUAGAGUGCAAUGAACAUAGAAAAUGAUAGUGCCCGCUAAUUGACCCUAAUUCACGUUAAAGUUUUGGUCAAGGUAGUUUUUGAUGAAGUUGGAAGUUCAAUUUACAUGAAACUUAGUAGACAUGUUCCAUAUGAUAGGAUCUUUCUAAUUUUAACCCCAAUUUCACAGUUCACUGAACAUAGAAAAUGAUAGUGUGAGUGGAGCAUCCAUGUACUAUGGACACAUUCUUGUUGAUGGUCAAAGUAAUAAACUGUGCAAGUUUGGGUCUACAUUAUGAAAAUUCUAAUACAUAUUUUUUUUUCAUUACAGCUGCGUCUGUGCAGAUAUUAUAGCUUAUGCUUCUAAAUACACGUAAGUAAAAACUAAGUGGAUUAAAAAUGACAAAAAAUUAUAAAAUAGAAAAACUCAAUCAUUGCACUUCUUCACGAGUGGAGAUGUUUGUGGUUGCUGUCUUCAAUCAUUAUUUUUGGGCCAGCUGAGCUUUUCUCAUCACUUUGCGUCCGUCGUCCGUCAUCGUUAACUUUUACAAAAUUCUUCUCCUCUGAAACUACUGGCAAAUUUAACCAAACUCGGCCACAAUCAUCAUUGGGGUAUCUAGUUUAAAAAAUGUGUAUGUGGACCCACCAAACCAUCAAGAUGGCUGCCAUGGCUAAAAAUAGAACAUAGGGGUAAAAUGUAUAUUGGCUAUAAUCUGAAACCAAAGCAUUUAGAGCAAAUCUGACAGGGGUAAAAUUGGUUAUCAAGUCAAGAUCUAUCUGCCCUGAAAUUUUCAGAUAAAUCAGACUACUGGUUGUUGGGUUGCUGCCCCUAAAUUAGUAAUUUUAAGGAAAUUUUGCUGUUUUCGGUUAUUACUUGAAUAUUAUUAUAGAUAGAUAAACUGUAAACAGCAAUAAUGUUCAGCAAAGUAAGAUCUACAAAUAGUCAAAUGACAAAAUGGUCAGUGACCCUUAGAAGUAAUUGCCCUAUAGUCAUUUUUUCCAAUUUUUGUAAAUUUUUGUAAGUUUUACAAAAAUCUUUUUCUUUGAAGCUACUAAAACAAAUUUAACCAAACUUGUCCACAAUCAUCAUUAGGGUAUUUAGUUUAAAAAAAUAUGUGCGGUGAACCAGCCAACCAACCAAGAUGGCCGCCAUGGCUAAAAAACAUAGGGGUAAAAUGUAGAUUUUGGCUUAUAACUCUGAAACCAAAGCAUUAAGAGCAAAUCUUACAUGAGGAUUAAAUUGUUUAUCAGGUCAAGAUCUAUAUGUCCUGAAAUUUUCAGAUGAAUCAGAGAACCUGUUGUUGGGUUUGCCCCUAAAUGGUAAAUUUAGGAAAUUUUGCCGUUUUUGUUAUUAUCUUGAAUACUAUUAUAGACAGAGAUAAACUGUAAACAGCAAUAAUGUUCAGCAAAGUGAGAUCUACAAAUAAGUCAAAUAUGACCAAAAUGGUCAGUUGACCUCUUAAGGAGUAAUUGCCCUCAAUAGUCAAUUUUUAACAAUUUUUUGUAAAGUUUUGUAAUGUUUUACAAAAAUCUUCUCCUCUGAAGCUACUAAGACAAUUUUAACCAAACUUGUCCACAAUCAUCAUUAGGGUAUCUAGUUUAAAAAAUGUUCGAUGACCCUGCCGUGAACCCGAUGGCCAUGGUAAAACUAGUACAUGGUAAAAUGCAGUUUUUUGCUCAUAUCUCUGAAACCAAAGCAUUUAGAGAAAAUCUGCUGUAGGUAAAAUUGUUCAUUAGGGUAUGAUCUAUCUGCCCUGAAAUUUUCAGACCAAUCAGGCAACUUGUUGUUGGGCUGCUGCCCCUGAAUUGGUGAUUUUUAAGAAAAUUUUGCGCUUUUGGUUAUUAUCUUGAAUAUUAUUAUAGAUAGAGAUAAACUGUAAAUAGCAAUAAUGUACAGCAGAGUAAGAGCUACAAAUAAGUCAACUUGACCAAAGUGGUCAAUUGACCUAGUCCUUUAUAGUCAAUAUUUAACAAUUUUCAUAAAUUUUGUAAAUUUUUACAAAAUAUUUUCCACUUUCACUUCUGGGCCAAUUCUAUUAUAGAUAGAGAUAAUUGUAAGCAGCAAGAUUGUUCAAUAAAGUAAGAUCUACAAACACAUCACCAACACCAAAACACAAUUUUGACUUGAAUCCAUCUGUGUCCUUUGUUUAAUAUGCACAUAGACCAAGGUGAGCGACACAGGCUCUUUAGAGCCUCUAGUUUAUGUUUUUAUGAUUCUGUAUUAUUAUUCAUACAUAUAUGGUCAUUGAUAAAUAUGUUUUAAUGGAAUAUACCUCUUACAUGUCAGUUUGACUAGAACUUGCCUUUUGGGUAAAAAAAUACCAAAACAUUCCAAAUAGUACUGCAACGAAUAUAAAAUAUUUUUAUGAGUUAUAAUGAUAUGCAAUGUUAUCUUUGUAGCAGGUUAUGUUAAGCAGCCUAAUGAAUGCAUUAUUUCUUACUUUUAAUUUAGAAUUCUUCUCUCCAAAAUAAUCACAAUAUUAGAAUGGUAAUAGUAAUACAUUUAAAAAUUAAAACACUUAUUUAUCUCUGAAUCAGUGAAUGUCUUAAUAUUCUUAUGAUAUAAUUGAGAAAUUUAUUUAUUUGUAAUAUGAUUUUUAGGUACAUAGAAUUCAUGGAAAAGUCUUCAGCAUUAAAUGAUCUAUCAAACUACCCACAGUUAUUAGACCGUAGUAAACAGAUUGGCUAUGAGAUCUCUAAAGUUGUCUAUAGAGGAUUCCAUACGCAUGACAAAUUACAGAAACUUCAUGAUGGUGCUGUCAAAACCAGGACUAAUCUCAAAAUAGCUGUUAGUAUAACAAAAGUGCACACACUGAAAUGUCUCGCCUUCUUUACUAAUCAUUGAUAUUAUGUUGAUACUCCUAAAUAUAAAGCUUUAUUACGACUGUCACAUAAACUUAACAUGAACCAUGAAAAUGAGGUCCAGGUCAGUCGAACCAUAUGCCAGGCAGACAUGUACAGCUAACAAUGCUUCCAUACAACAAAUAUAGUUGACCUAUUGCUUAUAGUUAAGAAAAUAGACCAAAACACAAAAACUUAACACUGAGCAAUGAAACUGUGAAAACAGUCAGGAAAUAAACUGCAUACUGACAUAUAGAUCAAUAAAAUAUUUCCAUACACCAAAUAUAGUUCACAUAGACUAAAUAUUAGAUAAAAGACCAAAACUCAAACACUAACUUUGACCACGAACCUUAAAGGUCAAGUCAGAUGACAUCUACCCGCUGAAUGUACACUACAAUCAUUCCAUACAACAAAUAAGUAAACUAUUGCAUAAGUAUGAGAAAACAGACCAAAACACAAAACUAACUAUAACCACUGACUAAAAUGAGGUCAAGUCAGAUGACAUCUGUCGUAGACAUGUACACUUACAACUUCCAUACAACAAAUAGUAAUCCUAUUGCAAAAGUAUGAGAAAAACAGACCAAACACAAAACUUAACUGUAACACACACCAUGAAAUGAGGUCAGUCAGAUACACUCCAGUUGACAUGUUCACCUACAGUCCUCAUACACGAAUAUACUAGCUAAUGCUAUAAUCUAAGAUCGGACUUGACGCACAAAACACACCUGUUCACUGAUCCAGAAAGAGGUGAGUCAGUGAAAAAGUCUACGGCAUGAGGACCUGCAAGGUACACAUAUAAAUAUAGUUAUCUAUUACUUACGUAAGAGAAAUUAACAUACAAAAAUCUGAACUUUUUUCAAGUGGUCCGAACCAUGAAAAUGAGGUCAAGGACAUUGGACAUGUGACUGACGGAAACUUCGUAACAUGAGGCAUCUUUAUACAAAGAAUGAAGCAUCCAGGUCUUCCACCUUCUAAAAUAUAUAGCUUUUAAGAAGUUAGCUAAUGCCGCCGCCGCCGGAUCACUAUCCCUAUGUCGAGCUUUCUGCAACAAAAGUUGCAGGCUCGACAAAAACAGGAAUACAUUUAUCUAAUGAAGUUGAAAAAUGUAAAAUGGUGAAGUUUAAGGCAAAUCUUUACUAGUUCUGUGAGACCUGUGUAAGCUUCGCUAUAUACAUGGGUUUUUUUUAUCAUUUAUGUAAUGAAAUUUUAUUUUAAACAUGCUUAUUGUGGUUUGAUUUUUGAUGUUUUUAACCAAAUAAUGCACUAAACAACCCCUGAUUCAUUUCUAAUGAAUGCAAGAGGAUAUUGAGUAUGUCAAAGAGACAGCUAAUUGACCUAAUUCAACAAAAUAAUUUAUGAAAUUUGUUUACAGAGACUAUGAAAAAUCUGUGAUCAAAAUAAUAGUACCUGUAUAAUAAAUAGUCAUAAUACAAGUACAGGCAAAGCAAUAAUAAAUAAUGUAGCAAUUACAAGUGAGAAAAAGAGACUAGAAAUAGAUAUCCCAAACAAUGGCUAAAAUUAUUUCUUAAUUUUUUCUUUUAUGCUUAUCAGUAAAUUUUUGAAAAGUACAGCUACUCUUUGUGUCUAACAAAAUGCAAAACAUGCAUACUUUUCUAUUGUAAUCACCUUCAACCGAUAAUGGACAUUAUUAUUUUACAGUAUGAAAAAGAAGAACAAGAACAAGAAAUGACUGACAUGAAACUGAAGAAUGAAAAAGACAGAAUACAACUAGGUGAGAAAAAAAAAACUUUGGUAGUUCAAGCAAAUUUAGUUCUCUCAGUGGUUGUUUAUAUGACUGAAAAUUUAUUAAGUCAUAUAUUGUAUGGACCAUAUGUCCGUAGACAAUGUUUUUAGGGAUUGAAGCCCAUCCAAAUUCAUUAAAACUGUGGUUUAGUGAUUUAUUAGUUCUACAAAGGUGCAAAGUCACUGUUGAAUAUAUUUUAGACUUUAAAAUUACAUACAGUGUAAGUCCUUGGCCAUGUCAAUAAUGAUUUUUAUUUAACUGUUUAUAUGAAUUUAAUUUAUAUUUAAUUAAAGAUUUCUUGCUGUUGUGCAAUACACUGUGCAUUUGCCUAAUACUUCGUACAUCUAUCUGUUUAACUUGUACACAAGUUGUAUCCAUUACACCAAAUUGGGAUAGCAAGGUCACUUUCCAAGUCCUUGAAAACAGCUUGUCAGAAUUCUGCCAAGUUGCACAAAUUUUGCCACAGGACUUCAAAGUUUUGCAUUUACUAUUUUCACAUGAUUUUUGGGGUUUCCCAUUAUAAAAGAAGGUCUAACCAUGUAUGCUUAUAUUAUUUGUAGACAUCAGGCAACAUACAUCUUCUGAAUCAUUAGAAACUCACAUUUUUAAAUGGGAUGUGUUACUUAAAUAUUGUGUUCAUAGAUUUGGAUAUAACUAGAUGAAUAAACAUAUAUUUUCAGAACACAAAUUGGAGGAAGAAAAUUUAUCACAUAAACAAGAGUUAGAAAAGUAAGUUAGAUAAUAUUGAUUUAUAAAGUAUUAAACCAAAUUUAGAAACUUAUUUAAUUUUAUGUUUCAGAAUUAUGUUAUCACCCAACAAAUCUGAAAACAUGUAGUAAAAUCUAUUACAUUUUGUUUUUUAAAACACUUGAUGCUGAUAGGUUUAUUUUAUACUUUUGUCUAUUUCAGGUAUUCAGUGUGAAAUCACAUUACCUGUUUCUAUUUGUGCAUAACAGUCUGGAAAACCAAAAAUGUGCUUUAUUGGCUUAAAAAUGUUUGACACAUGAAAUAGACAUUUGUCAAUUAAUUAAGACUCAAUAAUGAUCCCGAAAUAUUUUUGUUAGUGUUUCAAUUUUGUUUGUAGAUUGCAUACCUCUUAUCUGCUUUUACUCAUAUGUUAAAUACUAUAAUGUAUUCAUUGCUUAUCUAUUUUUUACAGGGAUAGAGUAAGACAUAAACUGAUGAUGGAACUUAAACAAGAGCAGAAUGUAAGAGAUGUCUGGAUUCAGGAAAAUACAGCAUCAUUAGAGGUAAUACUUGGCAUAAACACUAUGUCGUGGAGAAUUGUCUUAUUGGCAAUUAUACCACAUCUUCUUUUUUAUAUCUUGAUGAUAAUGUAUCUUUAUUUACACAUGCUUAGAGCAAUGGCCUUGGAUGUUGUUACCGAUAAUAAAACAAAAGGAGUAUACUAUUGAUUCGAUUUUUUUUUCUUUUGAUUUACUGCCCAAGAAAUGAAUAAAAAAGUUUCUGACAAUUUUAUGUUAGUAGUAAUUUUCAAAUAUGAUACUCUAAUAAGUUCAUCCUAUAACUCUGUUUGAUAGAUACAGCUCCAGUUUUAUAUAUGACCUUUUGGUAAAUGUAGAAACUUCGUUGUCAGCUGAGACUUAAAUUGGAUUCAAUUAUGUUUUGUGUGUACCUUGCAUUUUUACUUGUUUCUGUGUCUAGUAAAAACUAGUAUCUAUAUCCAGAGACUUAAAUUUCUCUCUAUUACAAACUAUAAUCUAUAUUAAGAGACUUUAUGCAUUAUUUGUUUAUGUCAAUAUUUUAUAAGUGUUAUGUCUUGUCUGACAGUUAAUUAUUUUUUAUAUUUUGAUCUACAGGGUAAGAAGCUACAAGAUGCUCAGACACUGAAGUACUACACAAACUUACAUGACCUAGGUGUUGACCUCAAUGGCUACAUACAGGCUAAAGCUCAACGUCCACAGAAAAUCAUCAAAGUAGUCGCAGAUAAAGAUUCAGCCAACUUCCAUCUUCAUCAUACCUAAUUGUUUUGAACUUUGAUGCUUUCAUUAUAUAGCCCACUCUGGGAAUGGAGAUGUAUUGCAUUCACUGUAUCUGACGGAUCGUCUAUAUUUUCAUCUGUUUGUUCAUCUAAAACCAUUUUCUUGACAUUUUUUUCAGGUUAGAUAGAAAGAUUUAAAAUUUAUAUAUUUGUUUUAAAUUCAAUUUAUUAAACAUUUAUUAUAAAACAUCAAUUCAUGAAAUCAUAGUAUCACCACAUGUUAAAUUUCUGUAACAACAAGGCUUACCUAUAUCAUCCUAUUCACAUAUCAAUUAAAUUAAAAAUGAUUUGAGUAGAUUCAAGAUUUUAGGAGCCAGUAAUGGUUUCUAUAUAUUGUACUGUUAUCAUAUCCUCAUUUUGUAAUCUACAACAUGAAAUUAAAACAAAUAUAUUAUAUUCACUCUGACAAAUCUAUACUUUUAUGUUUUUGGUAUUUUGAAAUGUCUUUCAGGUUGUUUGUAAUGUCAACUUCUAUUGAGGUCACUCUUAUAUGUUUUUAUUUAUUACUCAUACAUACUGUGAUAUAUAUACACUGAAUCUAUUUUGACAUAUUUUAAAAUCGUUAAGAGAAGAUAUUAUUUUAAUGUGAUCUUAAAUGAAAGGUAAUUACCACGCCUGGUCUAAAUAUAUUUUUAUAAAAUGGCUUCUGAUUGAAAAUGUUUGCUCAAGUGUCUUGUGAUAUUUUGAGUUAUAGAAUUAAGUACUGUUAAUACUGCAUAAGCUUAGCAAUGAACACUGUGCUAUUAUUUAUUCAAGAUCUUACUUGUUCACUAUUUCUUUAUUUGCACUGCACUUUUAAGUGAUAUUCUCUUAUACAUAUAGAUAUAUGAUAACACCAGGAUCCUUGUUUACACAUAGGUAUAUGAUAUCACUAAGGAAUUGCUUGAUAUCUCACAAAUACUGGGAAGGAUAUAAAUUUAAGUUGACAUUUUUUACAGACAUUUACGUAAAAAAUCUAAUUUAUAUGACUGGAAUGUAUUUGUAAUUCGGUUUCUGAAAUGCUUCAUGGUCUUGAGAAAUAUAUGCAAUUCAAAAUGUAAAGAUCUGAUGAUACUCUUAUUAAAGACUUUUGAUUGAGGUUUUUUAUUUAUUUAUGUAAGAGUGAAAGUGGGUUUGUUAAGCAUCCUAUAUAAUACAAGCAUGCUUAAUGGUUAACUUGUAAAUUGUUUUAUAUUUAACCAUGUGGAAACAACAACAUUGGGUAUUGUACUAAUACAAGGGGCUUAUGGGAGAUAUAAAGUCCAGCCUUAAUUGAAUUUGUUUAUGGAUAAAAGCAGUUAGACUCCAUACAUUAUGUCAUACCCCUUGCAAGUUACUACUGAACAAGUUGGUCCAGAAUUUAUCUAAAUGUUUAUAUUUUAUGUUAAUCCUGAAGACAUAAAGUUAAAAUUCCUAAUUCCCAAUAGAUAUCUAACUGAUAUUUCUUUUUUAUACGACCUCAAAAAUUGAAAAUUUUUUGGUCGUAUAUUGGUAUCACGUUGGCGUCGUC